rnacentral:rRNA from 1 species
UCGGGAAUUUUGGGCAAUGGGCGAAAGCCUGACCCAGCAACGCCGCGUGAGGGAUGAAGUAUUUCGGUAUGUAAACCUCGAAAGAGUGGGAAGAAUAAAUGACGGUACCAUUUAUAAGCUCCGGCUAACUACGUGCCAGCAGCCGCGGUAAUACGUAGGGAGCAAGCGUUGUUCGGAUUUACUGGGCGUAAAGGGCGCGUAGGCGGCGCGGUAAGUCACUUGUGAAAUCUCUGAGCUUAACUCAGAACGGCCAAGUGAUACUGCUGUGCUAGAGUGCGGAAGAGGCAACCGGAAUUCUUGGUGUAGCGGUGAAAUGCGUAGAUAUCAAGAGGAACACCUGAGGCGAAGGCGGGUUGCUGGGCCGACACUGACGCUGAUGCGCGAAAGCCAGGGGAGCAAACG